rnacentral:rRNA from 2 species
GUGAAGUCGUAACAAGGUUUCCGUAGGUGAACCUGCGGAAGGAUCAUUA